UCCUGUACUGUUGGUCUCCUGAGUCUUUCUACUCCACGUUGGAUCCUCAGAACAAGCUGGGCAGACGAAUUUACUGCAGCGAAGGACUAAUGCUACCCCUAAGCAAGGGAGAUUUUUGUGGCACCAACAAAAUCCUGCAUUAUGGACCCUGAAAUGAUGGCCCAAGGUCACACAAACGAGAACACAUCCAAACCAAAGAGAUCAUCAGAACUACCCACCAGAGAAACUCGGUCUCUUUCACCUACAUAACCCAGAGACUCUUGUGAACACUUUGAAACAGCGUCAUCAGUACUCUGCACUUGCCAGUGUGAUCAUGCCCUUUAGGUAAAUAAAUAAAUAAAUAAAUAAAUAAAUAAAUAAUGAUGAUGGUGGUGAUGAGAUGACGACGACGACGACGACGAUGAUAAUAAUA
rnacentral:lncRNA from 1 species